CUGGACGAGCUCUCAUCUCCCUUUGGGAUCAGCCCCUCUGGAAAAGCCUCUCCCAGCUCCCAGAAAAGCCGGAAAACCAAGGAAUUGUCCCAAAAUUCCCAGGAUCAGCUGAUCAUUGAUGCUGGCCAGAAGCAGUGGGGUGCCCAGCAGUGCCCAUCCUGUGGGAUGCUCUACGCCCCCGACAGCCCCGAGGAUCGGCUGCAGCACCUCCGGUACCACCAACGGCUCCAGGAGGGGCUGCGCUACCUGGGCUGGAAGAAGGAGCGAGUGGUGGCGGAAUUCUGGGAUGGGAAAAUCGUCCUGAUCCUUCCUGAAGAUCCCAAAUACGCCGUCAGGAAGGUACUGGGAAUUCCUGCUGGGAUUGGCCUUGGAA